rnacentral:rRNA from 1 species
UUGUUCCGUAAAUAGGGACCUGUAUGAACGGCCACAUGAGAAAGAAACUGUCUCUUGAAGAUAGCCAAUGAAACUGAUCUGCUUGUUCAAAAGCAAGCAUAAUUAAGCUAGACAAAAAGACCCUGUGAAACUUAAAGCCAAGCAUUAAACAAACUAAUGCCUAACUUUUAGUUGGGGCAACUUAAGAUACACUAAACAUCUUAAAUAUUCUAAACCAACAAGUUAAAAUUACUCAAACAAAAGAUCCGGCACAGCCGAUCAACGAACCAAGCUACUCCAGGGAUAACAGCGCCAAAUUCUUUGAGAGUCCACAUCAACAAGAAUUCUUACGACCUCGAUGUUGGAUCAGGAUAUCCAAACAGCGCAKAAKCUGUUAACGGCUCGUUUGUUCAACGAC